AUUGAACGCUGGCGGCAGGCCUAACACCUGCAAGUCGAACGAGUGGCGCACGGGUGAGUAAUUUCUGGGCAACUGCCUGAUGGAUGGGUAUAACUACUUGAAACGGUAGCUCAUACCGCAUUCCAUCGGAUGUGCCCACAUGGGAUUAGCUAGUAGGUGGGGGAGAGGCUCACCUAGGCGACGAUCCCUAACUGGUCUGAGUGGAUGACCAGCAACACUGGAACGGAGACACGGUCCAGACUCCUACGGGAGGCAGCAGGGGGGAAUAUUGCACAAUGGGCGCAAGCCUGAAGCAGCCAGGCCGCGUGGAGGAAGAAGGCCUUCGGGUUGUAAAGUACUUUCAGCGGGGGGGCGUUACCCGCAGAAGAAGCACCGGCUAACGCCGUGCCAGCAGCCGCGGUAAUUC
rnacentral:rRNA from 1 species